CCUACGGGUGGCAGCAGUGAGGAAUAUUGGUCAAUGGACGAGAGUCUGAACCAGCCAAGUAGCGUGAAGGAUGACUGCCCUAUGGGUUGUAAACUUCUUUUAUAUGGGAAUAAAAUGUUCCACGUGUGGGAUUUUGUAUGUACCAUAUGAAUAAGGAUCGGCUAACUCCGUGCCAGCAGCCGCGGUAAUCCGGAGGAUCCGAGCGUUAUCCGGAUUUAUUGGGUGUAAAGGGAGCGUAGGUGGAUUGUUAAGUCAGUUGUGAAAGUUUGCGGCUCAACCGGAAAAUUGCAGUUGAAACUGGCAGUCUUGAGUACAGUAGAGGUGGGCGGAAUUCGUGGUGUAGCGGUGAAAUGCUUAGAUAUCACGAAGAACUCCGAUUGCGAAGGCAGUUCACUGGACUGCAACUGACACUGAGGCUCGAAAGUGUGGGUAUCAAACAGGAUUAGAUACCCGGGUAGUC
rnacentral:rRNA from 1 species